rnacentral:rRNA from 1 species
UACAGGGGGUGCAACCGUUGCUCGGAAUCAUUGGGCGUAAAGCGCACGUAGGCGGUUCGUUAUGUCGGAUGUGAAAGCCCUUGGCUUAACCGAGGAAGUGCAUCCGAAACUGGCGAGCUAGAGUACGAAAGAGGAUCGCGGAAUUCCCGGUGUAGAGGUGAAAUUCGUAGAUAUCGGGGGGAACACCGGUGGCGAAGGCGGCGAUCUGGGUCGAUACUGACGCUGAGGUGCGAAAGCGUGGGGAGCAAACAGG